GAAAGAGGGAAGUGCCUCGCAAGAGGAGGCCUGGAGACAGGUGCUGCAUGGCUGUCGUCAGCUCGUGUCGUGAGAUGUUGGGUUAAGUCCCGCAACGAGCGCAACCCUUGUCUUUAGUUGCCAUCAUUCAGUUGGGCACUCUAAAGAGACUGCCGGUGUCAAACCGGAGGAACGGUGGGGACGACGUCAAGUCAGCAUGGCCUUUAUAUCCUGGGCUACACACACGCUACAAUGGUCGGUACAAUGGGUCGCCAAGCCGCGAGGCGGAGCCAAUCCUCCAAAACCGGCCUCAGUUCAGAUUGUAGGCUGCAACUCGCCUGCAUGAAGUUGGAGUUGCUAGUAACCGCGCGUCAGCUAUAGUGCGGUGAAUACGUUCCCGGGGCCUU
rnacentral:rRNA from 1 species